rnacentral:rRNA from 1 species
CCUACGGGAGGCAGCAGUGAGGAAUAUUGCUCAAUGGGCGCGAGCCUGAUCCAGCCAAGCCGCGUGAGGGAUGAAGGUUUUAUGGAUGUUAAACUCUUUUUAUAAGGGAAUAAAGUGUGGGUUGCGUCCUAUUUUGUAUGUACCUUAUGAAUACGCAUCGGCUAACUCCGUCCCAGCAGCCGCGGUAAUACGGAGGAUCCGAGCGUUAUCCGGAUGUAUUGGGUUUAACGGGUGCGUAGGCGGCCUUUUAAGUCAGCGGUGAAAGUCUGUGGCUCAACCAUAGAAUUGCCGUUGAAACUGGGGGGCUUGAGUGUGUUUGAGGCAGGCGGAAGGCGUGGUGUAGCGGUGAAAUGCUUAGAUAUCACGCAGAACCCCGAUUGCGAAGGCGGCCUGCCAGGCCAUGACUGACGCUGAUGCACGAAAGCGUGGGGAUCAAACAGGAUUAGAUACCCGGGUAGUC